CAAAAGGGGGGUUAGUUACGAUCCAAAACACAUGACCUAUCAGCCAUCAAAACUUUGACAAACUUCUGCACGGCCUGGUAUGGAAACACCAAUGCCCUUGAACUGAACAAAAGUAGUGGGUACAGCCCAGUCCAUCACAGCACACAAAACGCUGGGGGGAAUAAAGAAUCGACGUUUCCUACCGCGACCCUGCUUUACGACUGGAAAGGAAAGGGAGGGACUCUGAUAGGAGAGGAGAGUGGAUCCACAAGAAGAAAUAAGAGAAAAUAGGGUGUUAUCAUCAUCAGGCUUAACCAAGGUAGGCAAUUGUGUGUCGUCAGCAUAACUGUGGAAAUCUCGUUUAUGCUCUCUAAUGACGUCUCCUAGGGUGAACGUGUAUAAGGAGAAGCUUAAAGGACCAAGAGAGCUUCCCUGAGCAACCCCAAAAGGUACAUUGUACAUCGAACAUGGACAUUAGUGAGAAGUUCACUGAAGGAUAACGGGGAAGCAUGGCAGUUGCUGAUGUUGGCAAGCAGAGCUUUUGUAAAGGGAAGCAGUAGAAGCUGGGUGGCGAGGAGUUUAGCUUGAAGGGGAUCAAGGAAACAGACAUCAAUGUUAUCAUCUUCACCCAUGUUUUCAAAUACCUCAAGGGCCAAAGGGAAGGUUGGGCCUGUUGAGAAAGAUGGUCAGCACAGCAGCCGAUUUUGAGAUGAACAAAGUAUUGAAGAAUUCAACACCUGCAGUGUUACAGGAAGCUGAGAAUACUUGUAUUUUGGUAGUGCUUUUUCCAGGACCGAUAAAGAAGUAAAAGUAGUGGGAGGGGAUAUAGUUACCAAGAAGUCAAAUUUAUGAUUAGGGACUGGAACCGUGUAACUGUCGGAGUGUCAGUACAGUAAGUGGGAAAAUCUCUUGAGAGGACAAGUUAUACUUGUGUAACAAUAAAAAAUUUUCAUGAUCACUUUUUUUCCUGCUUACAGGCUACUGGACUAAAUCAAUUUUCAGUGUCAUGGUGCAAUUUGAAUGUGCAUGGUUGGACUAUUGUAAAAGAAGUUUGUCCACUGAUAGCAGUUAUUUAUUUAGAAAAUAAGCUGAACCAUUUGCAGAAAACUCCUUAUGGUGGUCUGCCACACUUGAUCAUUCUGGGAAUCUCUGCAGUGGCAGAUCCAGAUUUGUUGGAACAGAAUCAAAUCCAUUUUUAAACCACUUUAUUCUAGAGUAUUGCAAUACUGACAGAAGCCAUCUUAUCUCAUGCUUCUGACAAGAUACAAUGAUAGAUAAACAUAAAAGCACAGAAAUAAAAACAGACCAAGAGAGCAAGUGUUGAACCAUGUGUGGGAACAAAAGUCUCAGAGGACCUAAUUUGGUUAACCACACUGUUGGAAGAAAUUACUUAAUUUUUUUUUGCAAAAGCUUUUUAUGAAGUACACUGACGUUACUGAAAGUUGUGCUGGCAUCUUUGAAACAAGGUGGUAACUAGGGAAAAGGUAGAUCCACUCAUAGACAAAGGAGCCAGUACUUGGAGCCAAAGGAAAUGGGCUAAGUCAUUAAUGAGAACUUCACACUGAUGUUCAUCAUAGAGAAGGACAAGGAGAACAGGCAGGGAAUGUUGAUAUAUCUAGGGCGUGGCUGCUGGGCAUCUUAAAAAGCAUUAAAGGGGAUAAUCUACCCAGGGCCUGUUGGGUGGUUCCAAAGGAGAAGAUUCCUGGAGCCUUGACAGAUUAAUUUGUAUCCUCUUUAGUCACUGAUGAAGUAAUUGAUUUUGAAUAACCUGUGUUAUUCCUUUGUUUUAGAGGGCAACAGGGACAAAGCAGGAAGUAAUAGACCAGCGAGCCUUCCAUCUGUGGUGGAGAAAAUACCAGAGAAAAUUCUUGGGGACAGGAGACACUGAUAUUUGAAAAUGCAUAAUCUUAUUAGGGCACAUUGCGCAGGGGAGACCAUGUUCUUUGAGGAAGCGAUGAAGAUGAUUCAUUAGGAUGCUGAAGUAAAACAGAAAAUUCCAGAAACAUUGAGAAGAUCAGACAACACCUAUGGAAUGAGAAACAGAACUAAUGUUUCAUGUCAUGAAUCAGAACCAGAAAAUGCUCGGGAUGGAGCAUACACAACUUGAGGUAAAGUGGACUGUGGGGAGUGAAGGAAAAGGGAGGUCUUCACGGGUGCAAGGCUGGAGUGUUUAAAUAACAAAAUGGAUAAUUAUAAACAUGAAAUCUAGGUCCAGGCAAGCUGAAAAUGGUGGCAAAAUGCCCUUGAGAAUGGGAGCAAUUGUUAAUAUCGAGUUAAAAUAAUGCACUGUUGUAAGAUUGUGAAGAAUGCAUGAAGCUAUACUUUGUAUAACCAAGAUGAAACUGUCCAUUCCAAGAUAAUCACUGAAGAACAUUCCCAAAAUUAUUCUUUAUUGUGAUACAGUAAUGCUACUGAUUGUGAAACAGUUCAUAUAGAUUUUUUAUUUUAAAAACAUAAAAUUUAAUGGAUGCAAAAAUAAAGAUGUUUAGUGCUUAUGUUCCAUGACAUCCCAAGUACAACCACAGUGCUAAUAUUACAUCCUGAAUACAGCCAGUCACAGUGUUCAUUAGUGAAAUCCUGUUUAAAGAUAAAACAUCAAUUAACCUGCAUUUGAACAAAGGAAAACUACAGGAUAAAUUAGACUUGCCAAUAAAAUAUUAAACUUUGAAACAAAAAUCACAUUACUUGCAGUGACCUCAACAGCCCAAAGAUCAUUUAAAAAGGAUUUCAGACAUUUCACAGGUCCUCAGUAUGCAUCUCGUUUCUGCACAAUUAAUACCGAACAUUUAAUGUUGUAAAGGAGCAAUAGAUCCAUCUGCAAACUUGUUCAAAUCCAGAACCCAUUUCUGAUACCAAAGUGCCAAGGGCUCAAUUCCCAAACGUUGAAUUGCCCCGAGCUCACCACAAACCGGGGCCAGUGUGCAGUAUGUAGGCAGACUGGAUCUACAACUGAGAGGCACACUUCCAGGAAACAAGAGCCAUUAGCAUUCUAACAUCUCUCAAUCUCCUGUGCAGCUGUUUCCAGUGUUGUCACCAAAUUUGAUUAAUAUAUGUUGGUAACAAAGGCCUUCAUAAAAUACCAUGCCUUUUUUAAUACACUAUAAUGUUAUCUGUUAAGCAUCUUAUAUGUUUGUUUGUUCAUUGUUCCCCUACCAACACCGCCGGUGAAAGCUUUAUACUCUGUAGUGAGUUUUGUUCUCAUUCUACCCUUCAGACCCAUGUUAUAGAACUUAAAUAUCCAUACUAGAGAGAGCUGACAUUCGUAAAAAUAAUGUAAUUUAACUGUAAUUUAAAUGUUUCUGAACACAUCAUACACCCACUUUACUGCAGUUCUCAAUCAUUCUCUUACCCAGAUGGAUGCCUUAUAUUGCACAAUAUCUUACAGUCUCCCACUCAUUUUAAAUUUCACACAGCUAAAGCUUUUGAUUACCUGCCCAUUUUAUAGGGAAACUUCCCAUUUAAACAAAUUCAAAAAUGCAUUUUUGAGAACUGCUGUAAUAUUGCUGUAUUAAUGAAGAAACCUAAUUACAGAGUUUACAACAUUUUUACUGAAGCUACACUGCUGGCCUUCUCUACCCCAAGAGAAACAAUGCAAGCAGCACAUGCGUGUUACCAUUUCAAAACCUCUCUGUUCCUCUCCAAAGCCCGAUGAGGAAAAAUCAAUGGAAUUAAUAGCCAUCAAAGCUCCUUGAUGUAAUGUGCCACAGGCAAGGGCUUAAAAAGAGAUGGGUGCAUAGCUAGUGGUUUCAGCAAGAAAACAGUAUUGGGUAGUUUUUGGCUUGGCUUGCUAAAGUUGGUGGGAUAUCACAGUGUUCAGUGCUUGAGUCCUUACAACUUGAGUAAGAUCCUAAACGGAGACAUUUGUAUAUCCACAAAAUUGCGUGGGAAAGUAUACUGUGUGGAGAAUGCAAUGAAGCUCUAAGGAUGGAUAUGCGAGUAUGUGUUAUUCAAUUGUCAUUUACUGAAAUAAAACAAGUAAUUUAUUAUACUUUAUGUAUAGGAUGGUUCUGAAUCACUUCAUAACAUUUGAAAGUACAACUUAACCCCAAUUAGUUAAAGCCAACGAUAUCAAAGAAUCCAAAAUGUUUCAGGAUUGUAAUUGGAUGUUUGUAAUCCAAAUUGGAUACGUUUAAUUCAACUGCCACUAACUAAAAUAAUGCAGUAAAAAGUCCAGAUGAAAUAGAAUGCGAAACGAAAAGUUAGGAUAAGACAAAAGAAACUUUGUAUAGAGCAUUACUAGGGCAGCAGACAGACAGAGCCCCACUGCACCAGAGUCCCUGACCCUGGGCAUUACACAAGUGGAAUUUGCAGGUUUUCCCUGUGAUCACAUCAGUUUCCCCCAUGUUCUGGAUUCUGCUUGGUGUAGGUAAAUUGGCAGCUGGACAUUGCUCCUAGUAUUUGGGUGAAUGAUAGAAUCUGGGGUGGGGGGUGGGGGUUAAUGAGAAUGUGGGGACAAGUGGGUGACUGAUGGUGUUAGUGAGCUGAAGAGACAUUUCCCUGCUGUAUCACUAUACAUCUAAAACAUCCCUAAAGUGAACGAUAUACACUGACUGCAAUAGUGAAUUUCUAUCGCACGUUGGUUUUAUUUAAGAUUUUCACAUCCCUCAGUUUUCCUUUGAUCUUGGGCCUUCUAGAAAAAUUUAUGAAAUAGCAUAUUUCUGGUGAAAUAAAAAAAUCUCUUGAUCGACUGGGAAAACAUUAGAUUCAUUACCAAGCCACAAUAUUGUGACAUAACAAUACAUUAGGUGGUUCAGAAUGCAUUAAGUCAACAACUCAGAGGUCUGCAAGCAAACAUGAAACUUGUGUCUUACAAUGCAAUAAGUCACAAAGGUACUUGCAUGUGUACAGUACUGCUGGUAUUAGAGGACAAGUUUUACUUGCGCUGACCUGUAAAGAUGUUAUCAGCACCACGGUCUACCCAUCCUUUUUCACAUGCUAGGGGGUCUUAAAAUUUUCAUUACCUUGUUUAAAAAAUACUUGCGUUAAUCAAGAUUUGCGUAUUAGUCCAAUACAUCUAAGACACCAAAUAUCUUUUUGUCACAAUAUUGAAGCUUCCACAAAAUUUCAUAUGACUGUCCAAUUUGAAUGAAACUUGUUAACCUAAAGGUACCAUUUGAUUCCAAGAUCACUGCUGGUGAGGAAGGCCAUUGGAUCCAUCUUGGGCCAUUCAUCCAGAAUCACCCUCAAAUGUUUAAUGCAGCAUAUACCAGUUUCUUAAACACCUGGACAAUUGUCACCUCUCACUGCUAUUUUCAUUCUGUUCUUCUAUAUGUCACUCUCUUUCAGGCUAGUUCCAAAUCUGCCCUUUACCAGCUUAUUCAAUUUUUACAAGCUUAGGACUGAUCAUUUACAUACAAUGAUUUUUUUUCCCUCUACAUGACUGUUUCUUCAACCUUUCUUCAAUGUUUAGAUCUCCAAUAUCAGUUUUGAUUAAAAGUUAUUAAUCUGUUUUAACACUCUCCACUGCCUGACAACACUUACAGCAUUUCAACACACCUGGUCUCUGCAGAAUCUUGUGUAUAUGAUUUCUAGCAUUUUCUGUUUGACUGCAACAAUAAGUUCAGAUUCAUUGCUCUUUCCCUCACUACCUCCAACACCAAAAUAUCUUGGAGAUGACUGGAAAAACAACUCCUAAGCUAUAGGGGCACAGUAGUCCCUCUGGUUGUAUUGUUUGUCCUUCUACAUUGAUCAGUCAUGUUCAAUGACAACUAAUUUUAAGUAUCUUACUAUGAUGUCAUUCUCCUGAAUGAAAAUGAGGAAAACAGCAUAUCCAGGUCUUAAGCACAGUUAAAAGAUAUCCAAGCUGACCACUAGCUAUACAUGUUCACAUUAGUCAACUGCAACUCAUGCACCUUGUGGUACAAUAUUAAACUGCAACUAUAAUGUCAGACAAGAGCACUUAUGAUCACAAACACAGCAAUUUUCCAAUGCUCAAACCAUUAUAAUGGGAAUGAAUGCACUGUAGGCCUGUUGAGAAUCAGCAACUACAAAUGGUUAUUCACUUUGUAUAUCCAGCCAGGGGAACAGCAAUUUGACCUGUUCUCUUGACUAAUAUCCAGCACAGAGGCAUCCCAUAGUCUCACUCCAUUUCCCCAGUUUGUGAUGCCUACUUUUCCUUCAGCUUACUCCUGAUGAUCCUUGCUGAUGAUCCUCAAUUUGCAGCCUAAGACUGAAAAUCGGUAAUGUGCAGAAUUUGCCUGGCUUUACCAAGUUUUAGCAACACAGAUCUCUGCAGUGGUAAAUUUUACACAACAGUCUGCUACCUUGUAAUUUCCUGUGAAUGACUUCAUGUUGGAAACACCAGACUCUGAUAUGUUUGAAAACCUUGCAGUGUUUAAGGACAAAUACUCCACAAACUUUGAAUCUAAAUUCUAAAAAAUUAGACAAGAAUUCUUUUCUCCUCAAAACAUCAAAUAUUUCACAAAAAUUUCAACAAAAUAUUGCAUACCUCUAAUCUGUAUUGAGGGGCCAUGCUUACUGCUAAUCAAGGAAAGUACUGCAACUUGCCAAAUGCUGAAGAAAUGAAAUGAGCUACAGCUGAAAUUCAACAUCAA